rnacentral:rRNA from 1 species
CAAGACAACUUUACGGAGUUGACGAUUGACGGAGCGAAGCGACGUCAAAGCGUUCAUUAAAGUCGAGUUGGCUUAGGGAUACGUUCGUUGGGUAGGGGAGCGUUCUGUAAGCCUGUGAAGGUGGCCUGUGAGGGUUGCUGGAGGUAUCAGAAGUGCGAAUGCUGACAUAAGUAACGAUAAAGCGGGUGAAAAGCCCGCUCGCCGGAAGACCAAGGGUUCCUGUCCAACGUUAAUCGGGGCAGGGUGAGUCGACCCCUAAGGCGAGGCCGAAAGGCGUAGUCGAUGGGAAACGGGUUAAUAUUCCCGUACUUGGUGUUACUGCGAAGGGGGGACGGAGAAGGCUAUGUUGGCCGGGCGACGGUUGUCCCGGUUUAAGCGUGUAGGUGUGUGUUCCAGGUAAAUCCGGUUCACUUUAACACUGAGGCGUGAUGACGAGGUACUACGGUGCUGAAGCAACAAAUGCCCUGCUUCCAGGAAAAGCCUCUAAGCAUCAGGUAACAUCAAAUCGUACCCCAAACCGACACAGGUGGUCAGGUAGAGAAUACCAAGGCGCUUGAGAGAACUCGGGUGAAGGAACUAGGCAAAAUGGUGCCGUAACUUCGGGAGAAGGCACGCUGACACGUAGGUGAAGUGAUUUACUCAUGGAGCUGAAGUCAGUCGAAGAUACCAGCUGGCUGCAACUGUUUAUUAAAAACACAGCACUGUGCAAACACGAAAGUGGACGUAUACGGUGUGACGCCUGCCCGGUGCCGGAAGGUUAAUUGAUGGGGUCAGCGCAAGCGAAGCUCCUGAUCGAAGCCCCGGUAAACGGCGGCCGUAACUAUAACGGUCCUAAGGUAGCGAAAUUCCUUGUCGGGUAAGUUCCGACCUGCACGAAUGGCGUAAUGAUGGCCAGGCUGUCUCCACCCGAGACUCAGUGAAAUUGAACUCGCUGUGAAGAUGCAGUGUACCCGCGGCAAGACGGAAAGACCCCGUGAACCUUUACUAUAGCUUGACACUGAACAUUGAGCCUUGAUGUGUAGGAUAGGUGGGAGGCUUUGAAGUGUGGACGCCAGUCUGCAUGGAGCCGACCUUGAAAUACCACCCUUUAAUGUUUGAUGUUCUAACGUGGACCCGUGAUCCGGGUUGCGGACAGUGUCUGGUGGGUAGUUUGACUGGGGCGGUCUCCUCCUAAAGAGUAACGGAGGAGCACGAAGGUUGGCUAAUCCUGGUCGGACAUCAGGAGGUUAGUGCAAUGGCAUAAGCCAGCUUGACUGCGAGCGUGACGGCGCGAGCAGGUGCGAAAGCAGGUCAUAGUGAUCCGGUGGUUCUGAAUGGAAGGGCCAUCGCUCAACGGAUAAAAGGUACUCCGGGGAUAACAGGCUGAUACCGCCCAAGAGUUCAUAUCGACGGCGGUGUUUGGCACCUCGAUGUCGGCUCAUCACAUCCUGGGGCUGAAGUAGGUCCCAAGGGUAUGGCUGUUCGCCAUUUAAAGUGGUACGCGAGCUGGGUUUAGAACGUCGUGAGACAGUUCGGUCCCUAUCUGCCGUGGGCGCUGGAGAACUGAGGGGGGCUGCUCCUAGUACGAGAGGACCGGAGUGGACGCAUCACUGGUGUUCGGGUUGUCAUGCCAAUGGCACUGCCCGGUAGCUAAAUGCGGAAGAGAUAAGUGCUGAAAGCAUCUAAGCACGAAACUUGCCCCGA